CCGGCUCGCGCCAUCAUCCGCGAUCUCGCGAGAGCGGCGGGACGGGGCGGGGACAUGGGAGGGGCCGAGCGGGGACACCCCUCGAGUCGGGGGGGCUGGAGCUGGGGCUGCUGAAGAAACCGGGGUCGCGGUACUAGGAAUUGCUAAAGUAAAGCGGCGGGGAUGGGUUUGGGGAGAGCGCAGUGACUGACCCAAGCAAGGUCACGUCUGCGCUUUUGGGGAGAUUCCAGUACCAGGAAUUGUUAAAGUGAGGUUGUGAACAUGGUUUGGGGGGGAGCACGGCACUGGGGAUUGCUAAAGCAAGGUUACAGACAUGCUUUUGGGGAGAGCACGGUGCUGGGAGUUGCUAAAGUGAGGUUGUUGGCGGGGUUUUGGGGAGAUCCCAGUACCAGGACUUGCUAAAGCAAGGGGUGGGGAUAGGUCUGAAGGGAACACAGUGACAGGACUGAUUCAAGUAGUGUCAUGUCUGUGAUUUUGGGGAGAUCCCGGUACCAGCAGUUGCUAAAGCAAGGUUAUAGGCAUGCGCUUGGGGAGAGCGUGGUGCUGGGACUCAGCAAAGUCAAGUCACACCGGUGCUCCGGGGACAGCACGACACUGGGAAUGGCCACAGCAAGGAUCUGACCACGCUUUUGGGGGACAACGUGGUGACCCUGUCCCAAGAUGUGCAGGUCUCUUUUUUUUUCCAGUUGACUCACUUGAAAAAUCAGCUCCAUCUUCUGUUCUUGGUGCUGCCAAAGCGCUUGGCUGCAUAACAGGUGUCUCUGCCGGGGACUGGGGGGCUCCUGGCUCUUUCUGGAGGUGCUGGAUGUUACCCGUUCUCUCUAGAGUUGUAGGGGACCCCCCCAGCUCCCCCAGUGCCCCCCCUGCCAUGAGCAGGGACAUCUUCACCAGCUCAGGUUGCUCAGAGCCCCGUCCAGCCUGGCCUGGGAUGUCUCCAGGGAUGGUUCAUCCACCACCUCUCUGGCCAACCUGGGCCAGGCUCUCACCACCCUCAGGGCAACAAUUUCUUCCUCAUGUCCAGCCUGAAUCUCCCUCCUUUAUUUAAAAACCUAAAGAAGAGAAGAUGGGAAGUGAUCCAUUGGGAAGCAGAGGUGAUGGGGAGUGUACCAGGGGGGUGAAAAAAAUCAUGGGGAAAUCCUAUUGCUGUCAAGGGGAGGGCAAACAUCAAGAGUUCCAGGUGAAAUCCUACAGCAACCCCAAAUCUGCCAGAGGGCAGCUGCUUCACUAUUUUUUCUUUUUGUUUGUUAAUCCUAUUCCCCCCACCCAGCCCUGUAAGGGAAAGCAGGAGCUGGGAGCUGCGCUCAGCCGUUCCUCGUGGCGUGUGACAGUGGUGACAGAUGGCCCUGCCGAUGGCAGAAAUGAAGCAGUUGAUGGUGCCGGGUGACGACGCACACAGCCCGAGUGCGAACCCAGCACUGAGAACGAAAUAGGUGGAUAAUUCAAGCUGCCCAAGGCUGUAGAAUAGAUAAGUACAGUUUUUAAAAUUAAUUUCAGGCCUUUCCCUGCUGUCUCUAGCAUCCAUCUGCCUUUUGCACCAUGGGCCAGCCCAGCUCCAAGCACGUGAGUUGCGCCACUAACUGCAAUGGGGUUUUUUGGGGAGCAUGAGGGUCGGUGUAUGUCCCAGAUCACUGCAGGGCUUGUGCUGAUGGGGGCUUGGGGCUGGGUGUUUUUUUCCCAGUUGGGUCUCCCUUAUUUUAUAUUAUAUUUUAUAUUUCAUAUUUUAUAUUUUAUAUUUUAACUUUAUUUUAUUUCAUUUUAUUUGGAUUUUAGGAACAAUUUGUUCCCCAAAGGGCUGUGGGGCAUUGGAACAGGCUGCCCAGGGCAGUGCUGGAGUCACCAUCCCUGGAGGGGCUGGACAGACGGACAUGAGGUUCUCAGGACAUGGGGCAGUGCCAGGGGAAUCCAGACACAUAUGGUCAUCCAAGCAUGGGGGCAAGCCUGGAAAUUCAAACAUCUCAUGAAAAUAAGGCAAAACCCAGCCAAUUUCAAACUUUGUUAGCCAUGUCCUUCCUCAGAGCAAGAUGACCCCUGCAAGCGUGGCUGGUUUAAUUUGAUGGAUAAAGCUAUUGGAGGUUUGGGUUGUGUUCUCCGUGGUGUUGAUAUGGAGCAGGAUGGGGACAUCAACUGGGAAUAAAGUCAAAUAUCCGAAGCCAAGGAUGUCCGGGGGGGCAGGAGCUUCGCUCGGGGGAACCGGAACGGUGGAGUUUCUUGUAGCAUCAUUCUGGCUCCAUCUCUCCCAAAUAACUACGGAGCUUGUUGGCCAGGCUUGAUUAUUCUUGACUGCCUCCAGGCACCCUUUAUAUAGAUAUAUAAUAUAUAUAUAAAAUAUGUAUAAUAAGUAUACAACAAUAAAUAUAUAAAUAUCCAAGUAUUUAAAUAUAUAUUAAAAUAUAUGAAAUUGUAUAAAAUAUAUACAUUAUAUAAAAUAAAUAUAAUUAUAUGUA